ACCAGUACCGUGAGGGAAAGGCGAAAAGAACCCCGGCGAGGGGAGUGAAAAAGAACCUGAAACCGUGUACGUACAAGCAGUGGGAGCACAGGUUUACCUGUGUGACUGCGUACCUUUUGUAUAAUGGGUCAGCGACUUAUAUUCUGUAGCAAGGUUAACCGAAUAGGGGAGCCGGAGGGAAACCGAGUCUUAAUUGGGCGUUAAGUUGCAGGGUAUAGACCCGAAACCCGGUGAUCUAGCCAUGGGCAGGUUGAAGGUUGGGUAACACUAACUGGAGGACCGAACCGACUAAUGUUGAAAAAUUAGCGGAUGACCUGUGGCUGGGGGUGAAAGGCCAAUCAAACCGGGAGAUAGCUGGUUCUCCCCGAAAGCUAUUUAGGUAGCGCCUCGUGAACUCAUCUCCGGGGGUAGAGCACUGUUUCGGCUAGGGGGCCAUCCCGGCUUACCAACCCGAUGCAAACUGCGAAUACCGGAGAAUGUUAUCACGGGAGACACACGGCGGGUGCUAACGUCCGUCGUGAAGAGGGAAACAACCCAGACCGCCAGCUAAGGUCCCAAAGUCAUGGUUAAGUGGGAAACGAUGUGGGAAGGCCCAGACAGCCAGGAUGUUGGCUUAGAAGCAGCCAUCAUUUAAAGAAAGCGUAAUAGCUCACUGGUCGAGUCGGCCUGCGCGGAAGAUGUAACGGGGCUAAACCAUGCACCGAAGCUGCGGCAGCGACGCUUAUGCGUUGUUGGGUAGGGGAGCGUUCUGUAAGCCUGUGAAGGUGGCCUGUGAGGGUUGCUGGAGGUAUCAGAAGUGCGAAUGCUGACAUAAGUAACGAUAAAGCGGGUGAAAAGCCCGCUCGCCGGAAGACCAAGGGUUCCUGUCCAACGUUAAUCGGGGCAGGGUGAGUCGACCCCUAAGGCGAGGCCGAAAGGCGUAGUCGAUGGGAAACGGGUUAAUAUUCCCGUACUUGGUGUUACUGCGAAGGGGGGACGGAGAAGGCUAUGUUGGCCGGGCGACGGUUGUCCCGGUUUAAGCGUGUAGGUGUGUGUUCCAGGUAAAUCCGGUUCACUUUAACACUGAGGCGUGAUGACGAGGCACUACGGUGCUGAAGCAACAAAUGCCCUGCUUCCAGGAAAAGCCUCUAAGCAUCAGGUAACACGAAAUCGUACCCCAAACCGACACAGGUGGUCAGGUAGAGAAUACCAAGGCGCUUGAGAGAACUCGGGUGAAGGAACUAGGCAAAAUGGUGCCGUAACUUCGGGAGAAGGCACGCUGACACGUAGGUGAAGUGAUUUACUCAUGGAGCUGAAGUCAGUCGAAGAUACCAGCUGGCUGCAACUGUUUAUUAAAAACACAGCACUGUGCAAACACGAAAGUGGACGUAUACGGUGUGACGCCUGCCCGGUGCCGGAAGGUUAAUUGAUGGGGUCAGCGCAAGCGAAGCUCCUGAUCGAAGCCCCGGUAAACGGCGGCCGUAACUAUAACGGUCCUAAGGUAGCGAAAUUCCUUGUCGGGUAAGUUCCGACCUGCACGAAUGGCGUAAUGAUGGCCAGGCUGUCUCCACCCGAGACUCAGUGAAAUUGAACUCGCUGUGAAGAUGCAGUGUACCCGCGGCAAGACGGAAAGACCCCGUGAACCUUUACUAUAGCUUGACACUGAACAUUGAGCCUUGAUGUGUAGGAUAGGUGGGAGGCUUUGAAGCGUGGACGCCAGUCUGCAUGGAGCCGACCUUGAAAUACCACCCUUUAAUGUUUGAUGUUCUAACGUGGACCCGUGAUCCGGGUUGCGGACAGUGUCUGGUGGGUAGUUUGACUGGGGCGGUCUCCUCCUAAAGAGUAACGGAGGAGCACGAAGGUUGGCUAAUCCUGGUCGGACAUCAGGAGGUUAGUGCAAUGGCAUAAGCCAGCUUGACUGCGAGCGUGACGGCGCGAGCAGGUGCGAAAGCAGGUCAUAGUGAUCCGGUGGUUCUGAAUGGAAGGGCCAUCGCUCAACGGAUAAAAGGUACUCCGGGGAUAACAGGCUGAUACCGCCCAAGAGUUCAUAUCGACGGCGGUGUUUGGCACCUCGAUGUCGGCUCAUCACAUCCUGGGGCUGAAGUAGGUCCCAAGGGUAUGGCUGUUCGCCAUUUAAAGUGGUACGCGAGCUGGGUUUAGAACGUCGUGAGACAGUUCGGUCCCUAUCUGCCGUGGGCGCUGGAGAACUGAGGGGGGCUGCUCCUAGUACGAGAGGACCGGAGUGGACGCAUCACUGGUGUUCGGGUUGUCAUGCCAAUGGCACUGCCCGGUAGCUAAAUGCGGAAGAGAUAAGUGCUGAAAGCAUCUAAGCACGAAACUUGCCCCGAGAUGAGUUCUCCCUGAGACUUAAAGUCUCCUGAAGGAACGUUGAAGACGACGACGUUGAUAGGCCGGGUGUGUAAGCGCAGCGAUGCGUUGAGCUAACCGGUACUAAUGAACCGUGAGGCUUAACCUU
rnacentral:rRNA from 1 species